rnacentral:tRNA from 1 species
GUCUGAUUAAAGUAAUAAACUGUAAAUUUAUUAAAGAAUUAAUAAUUCUAU